rnacentral:rRNA from 1 species
UGAGGAAUAUUGGUCAAUGGGCGCAAGCCUGAACCAGCCAUCCCGCGUGAAGGAAGAAGGCGCUAUGCGUCGUAAACUUCUUUUCCGGAGGAAUAAUAUUUCGUACGUGUACGGGACUGAAGGUACUCUGGGAAUAAGCAUCGCCUAACUUCGUGCCAUCAGCCGCGGUAAUACGGAGGAUGCGAGCGUUAUCCGGAUUUAUUGGGUUUAAAGGGUGCGUAGGCGGAACAAUAAGUCAGUGGUGAAAACCUUCAGCUUAACUGGAGACUUGCCAUUGAUACUGUUAUUCUUGAGUAUAGUUAAGGUAGGCGGAAUGUGUAAUGUAGCGGUGAAAUGCUUAGAUAUUACACAGAACACCAAUUGCGAAGGCAGCUUACUGAGCUAUAACUGACGCUGAUGCACGAAAGCGUGGGGAGCGAACA